GUAAUCCGACCCGAUCGCUGGCACAACAACCGGCGGGCAAAGCAAACCGUCCGCCGCCCGCCACGCGUCCCGUCGCCUGUCAGAGGUCAGAGGUCAAACUCCUGGCCUUACAGCAGGAACUGGUUCAGGAAAACUGGUGAAUCCAGAAACGGGAACACUGUGAGGAUGAGCAGCUUUCCUUCUUCAUCAUGGAGGAAGUCAGAGGGAGCAGCCAUGAAGUUACAGGAAGAAAAAAUUUUUUAUGUCCAUGAAAAUCAGUUUGAUAAUUAAUAAAGAUCAGGAUUAUCGAUGAUCGGACAGAACCUUCUGGUUGUUCCAUUAAACCCCAGACUUCCUGUUUGGAAGCCCAGGUUUCCUCCAGGACUCUGCAGAUCAUCUCCAGACCUGGACCCUCUCAGUACCUCAUGCGUACCUGGGUCAUGUGACCUACCUUCACCUGCACCAGGGGACGGGGCUAAGAGCAUGAGGCACACGCAGCUCAGCAGCAGCAGGACGCCCACACCUCGGAUCGCCGACAUGUUGGCUGCAGCGAGAGGCCGUCCUGCAACAGGAGGAGGACACGGAGAAACGGAGACCAGGUUGGAGGUGUCGCUGCAAUGCGUGUGAAGUUGAGCCGCCACUGAGAGUGAAACUCAAGCUGCCAGCGAGGGACAGUCCUGCAGGACGCUGUGAGCUGAACUUCAGACGGACCGAGGGACGUGUCUUGGGUUCCAGUCCUGCAUCCCAUGCCGCUCCACAUCAAACUUUUCCAAAUGUCUUAACCUUCCUUUCUCCUUCCCCCAACAUGGACAACAAUCUCUGUAGAGGAUAGGUCUGUCCAGCAACUGGACCCUCCUCCUCUGUCUCAACCAGACCUUUGGUCCAGCAGGGAGUGGAUGUUCCUCCAGACCAGAAGUUCUCCUGUCCUCCAGUCUUGUUGCCGUGGUGACGGAGGUCCGGAUCACUGUGCCCACACGGUCGACUGUUAGGCAGGAAAACAAGGAGCGGAUCACUUUUCCAGAGAUUCCAGGGAAGUGCGCGGCCUCUGCAGAGACAGGAAGGG